rnacentral:lncRNA from 1 species
GAGCGUGACCAAGACAAGAAGUCACUUGGAUGUCUAUCCACUCGUCAGUGACUUGCUUGAUGUUGCAGUAGUGUGACUGGUCCUUUGACCUGCGGUGCUUCGGCUAUUCACAGUGAGAUUAUUGUAGUUUGACUGCCCAUAUACAUGGUCUCUAGUCAUAUGGAUCCUUGUUGUGUAGAUUGGCUGCAGUAGGUUCACUGUAGGAGUAGGGUAUGCACUUACAUGGAAUCUAUC